rnacentral:lncRNA from 1 species
GAGCUCAACCCGCGACCGCGGCUACGAUUCUCUUGGCUCCUGCCCUCGCCUUAGUCGCUCUGCGGGGUUGGUUCGGUCCCGGCACUUCCAGAGGCCUCAGGGUCCUGGUCUUGUAGAGACUUCCUGAACGGUGGCGCCUGUUCCAGUGUGUGUGCGCUAACUGCCUGUUCUGUGCCAGCCGCGCGUGGCCGAAGGGCGGGAGGACGGGGGUUGUGGAGGGGAGGAUGGAGGUUGGGGAGACAGGGCGGGGACGAGAUAAGAGGUCGGGGGGUGGGGAGGAUGGUCGCGGGGCGGUCUGGGGCUGGAGACAAGGGGCCUGAGGUGCGGGUACGCACUGAACAUUCCAACCGUCCCCAGCCGGCCGGGUUUCAGGUUUGAAAAGGUGGGAAGGUUAGCUGUCCUGGCGCUUUUCCUCCACGUGUUGUGCGGCUCCGCUGGAGUUCGGGUCCAGCACCUUCUACUCCGAGGGAGAGAGCCGCGGGGAGAGCCCUGUUCGGGCCCGCGGCUCGAACUGACCGCCGGCUCUGCCGAGCAGCCUCGACCCCAGGGCACCCCCGGGAGAGAGGGCGCGGCUCAGGUCCCUGCCCGAACCCCUGGGGUGCUGAGAGACUCCCCAGCGCCCCGCGUGGGCUCCCGGCCUCUCCACAGUUGAGGAUCCUGUAAGGGGCGAGCCCUUUUUCCCAUAAUGGCUGUAGUGAGUGGGUGUGCUUUCCCGAUUGACCCGCUGUGAGCAUUGCAGAUGAUCCCUUGAAAAGAAGUCUGAUCACAUUCACACUCUGCUCCGCCCAUUUCACUCAGUAAAGCUGAAGUCCUGCAGUGCUUUGCUCUGCCUCCGGUCACCCCGCCAUACUCCCAGACCCUCCCUCCCUCUCACUCCACUCCAGCUGCCCUGGCCUGGUUCAGAGUCCCUGACUCUUCCCUCCCCGGAAACACUUUCUGGCGGCUCUUGUCCCCGACUCUUCCCACCUGCUCUUUCAGUCUUUGCUCAAAUGUUGCCUCUUCAGUGUGGCCUAGGCCGUCACCACCCGGCCUUCACCGCAUACCUUUUUCUCUGCAACACCUACUCAACACACCGUACUAUAGAACUUACUGGCAUGCUAUAAAUGUAUUACCCUUA